rnacentral:misc_RNA from 1 species
GAAAUGCGAUACUUGGUGUGAAUUGCAGAAUACAUUGCGCCCCCUGGUAUUCCGGGGGGCAUGCCUGUCCGAGCGUCAUUACAACCCUCAAGCUCAGCUUGGUGUUGGGCCCCGCCGCCCCGGCGGGCCCUAAAGUCAGUGGCGGUGCCGUCCGGCUCCGAGCGUAGUAAUUCUUCUCGCUCUGGAGGUCCGGUCGUGUGCUUGCCAGCAACCCCCAAUUUUUUUCAGGUUGACCUCGGAUCAGGUAGGGAUACCCGCUGAACUUAA